rnacentral:rRNA from 1 species
AAGCAGGGGAUCGCAAGACCUUGUGCUUUUAGAGGGGCCGAUGGCUGAUUAGCUAGUUGGUGGGGUAACGGCUUACCAAGGCAACGAUCAGUAGGUGGUCUGAGAGGACGACCAGCCACACUGGGACUGAGACACGGCCCAGACUCCUACGGGAGGCAGCAGUGGGGAAUUUUGGACAAUGGGCGCAAGCCUGAUCCAGCGAUGCCGCGUGAGUGAAGAAGGCCUUCGGGUUGUAAAGCUCUUUCGCCGGGAAGAAAGAGUUGCGGCUAAUACCCCGAUGAAUGACGGUACCGAGAAAAGAAGCACCGGCUAACUACGUGCCAGCAGCCGCGGUAAUACGUAGGGUGCAAGCGUUAAUCGGAAUUACUGGGCGUAAAGGGUGCGCAGGCGGCCUUGUAAGUCAGAUGUGAAAUCCCAGGGCUUAACCUUGGAACUGCGUUUGAAACUACAAGACUAGAGU